AUGUGCUUUCCCAUCCUCUCACUUUACUCCAGUCCAUGUGCCGUCUUAUCCCCUGACUCUCCUUCUAGUGGACCGUCAGAGGAGGGUGUGGACUCUGAGCCUCAGAAGCAGGAGCUGACAGAGAAGAACCAAGUGUGCUUGCGCGUGUGCAGACAGGUUCCUGGAGCAAGAGUGAGGAGAUCAGGGUCCCAUCACUGGGACACUUUAGUUUCUCGAGAAUAAUACUGUGCACCAUAGCUCAGAAAGAAGAGGCUUUGCAGAAGAAUGCUGUCACAGAACACUGGGACUCUGGGUAAGUCCUUUCCCCUGUGCUUGUUGUUUGGGGAUCAAACCUCUCUGAUAGACAGAGAGGUACGUGAGAUCCCAUUUAGGGAAGCACUUGUGAGACCUCAGUUGGGAAGGAAGGAGCAGUGAUUUCCAAGUCUUCCCUGCCUCUCUUAUGAUGCUCUGUCUUGGGUGAACUCGAGAAGUUCUUGUACCAUUUUGUAUUUGAAUGACCAUUUGUGCAUGGUCCUAGGGUGGUUGGAACGUCAAAAAGUCGCACGAAAAGCAGGACCCCUGACCUCAGGGAACCGUGAGGACUCAGCUUUCCUGGAUGCAUGCGACUUUUUUAUCUCAUCUAUUUCCUACAACAUUCCAGGGAGGUAGAGAACAUGAUUUCUACAUCUUUUUGUAGCUGGAGAAACCACGAUGUACGGAGGUUAAGUAACCUGGCUGGGGGUCAUCGUGCUACCAAGACGAAAAGCAGAGACUGCCGCCUUCUGUGUCCAAAUGCCAACUGCAUGAUGCUCAGCUGCGAGCCACCUCCAAUCAAGUAGACCUUGCUCUCCUUCUGAGCCGUGUCACUCCUACAAUCUGCGUCUUCACUUCUGAUUCCAAAAUGCUAGACCUGCCUGUGUUUAUACAAGUCAGUGUACAUGAUUCAACCUCAAUUUCCUAUUCUGUAAAAACAAGGGUGUGUGGAAAGAACACAAGGAAGGUUUUGGAGAGGAUGGAUAUGUUUAGGACCUUGGUUAUGGUCAUUGUGUUACAGGUGCAUGUGUAGGUCCAAACCUAUGAAGAUUUAUACGUUAAAUUGUGUAAUUUUUUGUCUAUCAGUUAUACCUCAAUGAAACUAAAAAAUCCAAUCUCUCCAGGAGGUAAGGUGUGGCAGUCUGCCUAAAUCUGCUUCUGCACACUGAAGUUAAGGGCUCCCAUUUUGCAGCCGUCUGGUGCAGAGUCCUGAGAAGCUGCAUCCUCUCAGCCACGCAACACCACGGGGUCCGUCAUCUGCAUGAAGAGCUCUGCCCUGGGACAUAAACAUUACACUUGCCUGCUCAACAACCACCUCUUUGUCACAUCUCUAGAUCUUGAGUGUUGAAAUGAGUGUUCAAAUGGAGACAGACAGGUCUUUCUCCAGGAGGAAAGGAUUUCCUUCCCCCAGGACAGAAUUCAGUUGCUUGGGUAGAGACAAGGAUUAUAUUGCUGUGCGAUCAGGUACGUAAAAGCCCGAGUUGUAAAUGCCUCCACAGAGUCAGAGUCUGAUGAUGUGAAGGCUGUGCUUUAGGCAGUGAGCUUUCAAAUUAAGCACACGUUUUUUCCUCAGGUCCUGUACUUUUGCUUCGUUGAAAAGGAUUUUGCAGAUAACAAUCAUUUUUUCUGGUCACUUCAAUAAACUCUGUCUUAUUUAUUUUUCUUUCUUUCUC
rnacentral:lncRNA from 1 species